CCAACAAGAGCCAACUCGACUACUGGGACGGGGAGAAUCGGGCACCCCGGGCCGUGGCUCGUGGCAAAGCGAAUUCGAAAGUAAAGGCGGUGGAUUUUGACGCGGCGUCCAGUGACGACGAUGAAAACGGCAACGGAUUUGAGGAGGAAGAGGAGGAGUACGAUUGGGAGAACGAAAUGAGGAAGAGAGUUAAAGAAAUUGAGGAGAUGAGGGAAUUGGAGAAGAAAGCAGAGGAGCUGCAGAGUAAAGCGG
rnacentral:lncRNA from 1 species